GAGCGGUAACAGGUCUUCGGAUGCUGACGAGUGGCGAACGGGUGAGUAAUACAUCGGAACGUGCCCAGUAAUGGGGGAUAGCUCGGCGAAAGCCGGAUUAAUACCGCAUACGCCCUGAGGGGGAAAGUGGGGGAUCGCAAGACCUCACGUUAUUGGAGCGGCCGAUGGCUGAUUAGCUAGUUGGUAGGGUAAAGGCCUACCAAGGCGACGAUCAGUAGCUGGUCUGAGAGGACGAUCAGCCACACUGGGACUGAGACACGGCCCAGACUCCUACGGGAGGCAGCAGUGGGGAAUUUUGGACAAUGGGGGAAACCCUGAUCCAGCAAUGCCGCGUGUGCGAAGAAGGCCUUCGGGUUGUAAAGCACUUUUGUCAGGGAAGAAAUCCUUUGGGCUAAUACCCUAGGGGGAUGACGGUACCUGAAGAAUAAGCACCGGCUAACUACGUGCCAGCAGCCGCGGUAAUACGUAGGGUGCAAGCGUUAAUCGGAAUUACUGGGCGUAAAGCGUGCGCAGGCGGUUGUGUAAGACAGGUGUGAAAUCCCCGGGCUUAACCUGGGAAUUGCAUUUGUGACUGCACGACUAGAGUGUGUCAGAGGGGGGUGGAUUCCACGUGUAGCAGUGAAAUGCGUAGAUAUGUGGAGGAACACCAAUGGCGAAGGCAGCCCCCUGGGAUAACACUGACGCUCAUGCACGAAA
rnacentral:rRNA from 1 species